AUGUUAAGAAAAAGAAAUAGAAAAAAUCAUACAUUCAGAGAUUCAAGCAAAACUGAAACCUAUAAAAAACAAAAGCCCCAAAAUCUGUUCAAGAACAACACUAACAACAGAAUAAGAGGAAGUGCACAUAACUUUUAUCCUUUUGUUACACUCACCAGGGCUGUCUUUGAGGGCGUGACCCACAAUUUUUUAAGGUUAAACUUUGCAUAA